GGAAAACGUUGAGCCGUGUCAGUGCUUUGGAACAACGAUUAAAGCGGCGUAACGUGCACGCAAAACAACAGGAUCGAUUGCAGAUUCCGCGGCUGAAGUUACAGUGGCAGUGUUACCAUUCCUAAUUGCAGGGAGGAAGGAAGCUCAAGAAGAACUGCAGAAAGCAAAUUGCUAAUUUCCCUGUUUUCAUCUUCACUGUCUGUACUAACAGAAGGAGUUGCUGGAGAUGUAGUGUCUUGUAGGGGUGCCCUACCAGGUUCCCCCAAUCGGGUUGUUAGUUCU